AACACUGUAAGAAUCUUCUAUCCUAAACAGAUGUUUAAUAUUAAUUCUGAUUUGUGUCUUAAAUGAUAUAACGAUUGUUAUUGUUGUAAUGAAAAAACUUUUCUUCCAAUUAGGAUGUUUAAAAAAUUCCUUGGAGUUGAAGAAAAUGAUUUUAUUAAUUUUUCAGUGAUAAGUGACGGUGUGGGUUGCAAAGAACCAUAUUCCUGAACACGUCGACAAAAUGUAGACGACGAAUACACUUUGAGGUUAUAUUUGUAUAGAGUUUAAACAGAAAAUGUCAUUAAACGAAAUUGAAGACACUCUUUUUGCUUACAACCAGCAACAUCUAAUUCAAUAUUGGAAAGAACUGACUGAAGAAGACCAGUUAUCGUUAAUAACACAACUCAAAAAUAUCAAUUUUAAUAAUGUCAGUAAUCUGUUUCAAAAAGCUCAAACUUACAUUCAAGAAGGUAUACAAAAACUUGAUGAUCACAUGAAACCAGUGCCUAGAAACAAAUUUGAAGCAGAAUUGAAAUUGGACACGAAGGUAUUAGAAGAAUACUUUUUACUGGGAUUAAAAGAAAUUUCAAAAGGUCAUGUAGGAGUCAUUCUUUUAGCAGGAGGACAGGGUUCAAGAUUAGGUGUUACUUACCCAAAAGGAAUGUUUCCUCUUGAAUUGCCCUCGGGUAAGACCUUAUUUCAAAUCCAAGCUGAACGAAUACGAAGAAUACAAAAACUUGCUGAAGAAAGAACAGGAAAGUAUGGAAAAAUAUGUUGGUUUAUUAUGACUAGUGAAGAAAAUCAUGAACCCACAGAGAAUUAUUUCAAUAAACAUGGGUAUUUUGGUCUUAACAAAGAAGAUGUGAUUCUAUUCCGACAAGGAUUAUUACCAUGUUUCACAUUUGAUGGUAAAAUUAUAUUGGAAGAUAAAAAUAGAAUCGCUCUUGCCCCAGAUGGUAAUGGAGGAAUUUAUAAAGCUCUACAAAAAAAUCAUAUAGUGGAACAUAUGAAGAAAAGAAACAUAAAAUAUGUUCACGUCCACAGUGUUGAUAACAUCUUGGUGAAAGUAGCCGACCCCAGCUUUAUUGGGUACUGUGUGAAGAAAGGAGCUGACUGUGGAGCUAAAGUAAUACCUAAAGAAAAUCCUCAUGAUGCCUUAGGUGUAGUAUGUGAAGUUAAUGGAAAAUUCCAAGUAGUUGAAUACAGUGAGAUAACCGAUAAAACAGCAAAUUUAAGGAAUGAGGAAGGCGAACUAGUUUUCAGUGCCGGUAGUAUUUGUAAUCAUUUUUUUACUAGUGAUUUCUUAGAAAAGGCUUCAACUGUGUAUGAAAAAGAAUUGAAGCCACAUGUAGCUAAGAAGAAGAUUCCAUAUAUUGAUGAAAGUGGUAACAGAAUACAACCUAAAACUCCAAAUGGUGUAAAAAUCGAAAAAUUCAUUUUCGACGUUUUUGAAUAUUCUCAAAACUUUGUGACUUGGGAAGUGCCUCGAAAUGCUGAAUUCAGUCCUUUAAAGAACUGCGAAAGCGUUCAUAAAGAUUGUCCAUCAACAUGCAAGAGAGAUCUUUUGUUAUUGCAUAAAUCAUACAUUCAAAAAGCAGGUGGAAUUGUUAAAUGUGAGGAAUUAGAAAUUUCUCCUCUUUUAUCAUAUGCUGGAGAAAAUUUGGAAAGUAAAGUUAAAGGAAAGGUGUUUGAUAAAUGUACUGUUAUUCUUUCAGAUGAGGAAGUGGUUGUGAACGGGUUCAAAGGUACAUAAUAUCCAUAUAAUUGUACAAUUUUUGGGAAAAUUAAUACUCACUUUCCAUAGAUUGUUAUUGCAAAUAUCAAAUUAACAUAGGAAAACCCUCAAAUAUUAAGUUCCUGGAUAUUAACCCUCCAAUAGGGUUAAAUACCAAAUUAUUGGCACCUUUAGCAGUAUAUCAGACUAUUAUGUCAAUUUUGGCAUCUUAAAGUAAAAAAAAUUAUACACUUCCUUGAUUAUAAUAUUAUCAACAGUUCUUUUUUAAUACGAACACAGAAAACUACAUUUUUAAAUACAUCUUUUGAAUAAAAAAGAAUAUAUUCCAAUUAUGUCACAUUUCUCAGUUAUUCGCAAUAGAUUCUAGUUGCCUAUUUGAACAUUUUAUUUGUAAAACUUACAAAAAUUGUUGUUCAGUUAGCAUUUAGGGUACCAAGCAUGAAAGUAUGAAGUUCUAUCCAAAAAAUGACAUAAUUUAUAUUAUCACCAGGAUAAUGUGGAACUUCUUAUAAUGAGAAUUUAUUAAUAUUAUUGUUUGUUGUAAUACAUAUUCAUAAACUUGUUGAUAUUUAAAUCUUCUUAUUUCAGGAACUAUUUGAUUUGUCGACAAAUCUAAAUAAUUUGCUCCAUUCAAAUUACCUUCUACAAAUAAGGUUCCAGAAAUUCUGUUUAUAAUUAUACCUGCUUAAACAAUAACUAUUAAAAGCGUUUGUAUUUUAUGCUUCCACGUCAUCCAUUCGGAAUUAGUAUCUACAAUCAUGAAUCACUGUACCAUUGAGCAUAAAUUUAGUGUCAUUGGAAAAUAUUGUCUUACUUGUAAAAUGGAGAUCAGUAUCUGCAUUUUGUAGGGGUGACUGGGACAGGUUGUCUUAGUUUUUAAAAAAUAUUUAGGUGUGAACCAUUUUUGAAAUAAUGAUAUAUUAAUGCUUUGGAAAUACCAUGUUAAAAGUUGGGAAUUUUAUGUUUAGUCAAAGUCCUUUUCUUUUAAUUUGUUAUAAAUGCAAGACAAAUGGAUGUCACAAUAUCUGGAGUUGGUAGUCACAUAUUUUUAAUGAUAAAUAAGUUACAAAACAUCAAAUGGAAUAUCGAAAACAGUUUUUAAAAGAACAAAUUGAAUGUUUAUUUAAAACCAGUCUCUAGUGGCUUGUGCAGGCCAAAUGUGACCAACCAUUGCAGGAUCUGUAACUUAUCCAUUCUUCAUCUGGGAGGCUAUUGGAAAAGGGUCCAAUACAAAUCAAGCAAAAACAUUCUUCAUUAUCACUUUCAGCUUUGAGCAACCUUAUUUUCUUCUUCUAAUUUAUUUUUAACUGGUGUAUCAGUACGUAUUACACGUAACUUCUGAUUCUCGCUUUAGGAUAGGGUCUUAGAUUUUCUGGUGUUAUGAUCUCAACAGGCUGAUUUUUUUGCAUGCAGCUGGGAUUUUGAAUAUCAGUUUUAUCGUAUAUUUUUGCGGAAACAAACCAUCAGACUUUAAAAACUGUUGCUCUACUGGGACUUUCUGAUUCUUACAUGUAAACAACGCUUGGGGUUUCUUCUUGUUUAGGACAAUUGACGCUGGUCUGGUGUUUUCAACGUUUAAGACUGCAGUAUCUGUUCUGUCAGUAACAGAGCUCACAAGACUUUCAGAAUAAUUAAAAACAUUUCUGUUAAAAGGAGACACACCAGCCAUUCUAAACCCAAACACUAUUUUUUGGAGUCAAUGCAAGUGGAUAAGCUAUGGACACCAACGAUGGUAUGUCAUAUAUAGUUGUUUUUCCAAAAACAGAACGAUCAAGUGGUUGGCUUAUUAUAACUGUGGGGAGGAAAAGAAAUCAUUACAUUUUCCUUGGAAAAAUGUAGCCCCUUUAUAUUUAAAUGCAUAAAAUAGUAUAAAAAACAUUCGCUCUUUUAAAUAUGCUGGCUCUUGGUAAGCUUGUUGCUUCUGGCUUUCGAAUAGAUAGUUCUGGAUAACGUUUUAUGAAAUUGCUGAAUCAGUCUGGGCCGGUCAUUUUAUUUUCGCUUGUUUUUAAAGGAUUGACGUUAACAUAUUCAUAGGCUAGUCUGCGGAUUUCUUUGGGAGAUAUUCUAAUAUAUAUUUCAGAAGCUUUAAGAAUAUAUUUAAUUAGUUCUAUUUCAUAAUCGGGAGUAAAAACCAGAUGAUUUUUAAGAUAGCCUAUCCUAACCAAAUUUUCAUCAAAGAGCACAGCUUCUGGAAUUUUUAGCAGUACCUUGCCGGUGUUCGAUCAUUUAUAUUAAAUUCAGUUGCUGAUUUUCCUGAAUAUCUAUUUAACGAACCGAGCAGGUGGUGUGUAUUUCUUUUGAAGUUACGAACCAUAUUUGCCUGAGAAAAAAAUCAGCAUAAACAAUAUUCAUUGUAGAAUGCUGCAAAAGCUGGUUGUCACACGUGACGACAUGCCCCUGUAGAUUUACCCUUAAUAACAGGAUUAUUUCAACCAAUGCAAAUUUAAAACUUACAUUGAAUUAAAGCUAGGUAACCAUUUUCCAUAACACAAAUUUUUUAAAUACCAUGAAAUUUACUGAAAUUCGCCGCUUUUUGUUUCCACUUGGGAGAGCGUAUCCCAUAGACAAUGACUUUCCCCAUUGAAUACAUGCGACUUAUAAACUACCGCCAAUAAUAUUCAGAUUAAGACAAAUCUAUAUUUUGCAGCGUUGCCGUUGUAACAACCAGAGCCCCGAUCUCCCUCUAUCAAAAUUUUAACAAAAUUUCAUUUUGUGAUUAUGAGCAUCUUCAGAUAAUUCUUGUAUUAGCAUUACUUUGUACGAACGGAACUUACUCUUCUUGAUAAUGUUAAGGAAGGAUGCUGUAUGAACAUCAUGCUGUAAUGCAAUUUUCCGAUUGCAUGUACAAGAAUUUUCUAUAAAACUAACAAUAACAUCAAGGAUUUUUUAUCAUUGGUUACUGUAUUUGGUCAACUACUAUUAGGGUAAUUAUUAUUUGAAUCUAUUUUUUUAAUAAUAUUCCAAAAUGCAUUGAAUAAGUGAGCUAUUUCAUGAGUGUAUAUAAUUAGUUCGAUCAGAUACAAAGAACGAAAUAAUGCAUAGAGCAAUGGAGCAUUUGUUGACUGUUGUAUGUGAGGUUGUUGGAUGUGAUUCAGUCCUUGUAGUAGUAACAAUAAUAGAAACGGUUCAGUACUUUUCGAUAUUUUACAUUCGUCCGAUGACGAAGAUGUGGUGCCACCAUUUCCAGAUUACACUUAUUGCACUUUACUGGCUGAUCUGACUCUAGACCCAGUGCAAGCAGUACAGAGAACUGGGUGAACUAGUUCUCUUGCACUGCUACUAAGAACAACGACACUAGCACUGUUUUUGUUACAAAGAACACUUUAUUCUACACUUCCUGAACUAGUCCUGCCACUGCAGCUACCAAGAACAAACCUCAUAAACAAAUUACACUCUUUUGCUACUCGAUUAUACUCUACUUCCACUGUAGUAUGAUUCUCACGGGACGCUGGACUUUAUCGCAACUUUUUACAUUUUGAAUUUAUUAUUAUUUAAAGUAUAAAAUUGUUACAUAGAUUACAAAUUAAUAUCUGGAUCAAAUUACAUUAUUUUUUCACUAUCCAGUGGAUUUUGUUGCUACGUAUCCAAUACUGCUUUUAAAAUAAGAGAUCAAAUUAGUAAUUUUGCGGUGCCCCUACCUGCUUGUCUCUGGGGCUCCAGCCCCUUCCUAGUCCCUCCAUAAAUUCGACGUUUCAGACAACCUAAUAAAAAUUUUGUGUCUCAGUAUUAAUUGUUAUGACAAUAAAAUUGUAUGUAAAAUCAA